rnacentral:rRNA from 1 species
UGGGGAAUAUUGCACAAUGGGCGCAAGCCUGAUGCAGCCAUGCCGCGUGUAUGAAGAAGGCCUUCGGGUUGUAAGGUACUUUCAGUCGGGAGGAAGGUGUCAAGGUUAAUAACCUUGGCAAUUGACGUUACCGACAGAAGAAGCACCGGCUAACUCCGUGCCAGCAGCCGCGGUAAUACGGAGGGUGCAAGCGUUAAUCGGAAUUACUGGGCGUAAAGCGCACGCAGGCGGUUUGUUAAGUCAGAUGUGAAAUCCCCGGGCUCAACCUGGGACCUGCAUCUGAUACUGGCAAGCUUGAGUCUCGUAGAGGGGGGUAGAAUUCCAGGUGUAGCGGUGAAAUGCGUAGAGAUCUGGAGGAAUACCGGUGGCGAAGGCGGCCCCCUGGACGAAGACUGACGCUCAGGUGCGAAAGCGUGGGGAGCAAACAGG